rnacentral:lncRNA from 1 species
GUAUAAUUUUUUGAUAGGCUUAUGUCAAUGGCAAGCGAAAGUUCAUCUAUUCCUGUGGCGGAUAAUGAGCACGAGGAUUGUUAUGUCGAGGAUGGUAAAGCAAAAUCAAAGGUAUGGAUGCACAUGGUCAAGCUUCCAACUGAAGAUAAGGACAUAUUGAAAGCACAAUGCAAGUAUUGCAAGGAGAUUUUUUCAGCUACUUCUAAGAAUGGUACGUCUCAUAUAUGGUGCCACUUAAAAAGAUGUUCUAAACGUUUUCAUUAUGAUAUAAGGAAUUACACUAUUUCAACUGAAACCACAACUUCUGGAAGCACAUCUUUGCAUUUGAAAAAUCCCAAGUUUGAUUCGGAAGAAGUUCGUAGAGCUAUUUGUAUGUUUAUUGUUGCUGGUGCACAUCCUUUUACAACUUGUGAGGAACCUGGUUUUAAAUAUAUGGUAUCUGUUAUGUGUCCUCAAUACAAAACCAUGAGUAGGCAUACUAUUAGGAGAGAUUCAUUGAAAUAUUACAUGGAUGAAAUGAAGGUUGUGAAGGAGGAGUUAGCACAAGCACCGGGGAGAAUAUGUUUGACUUCUGAUAAUUGGAAAAAUGAUUACACACAAGAUGAAUAUAUUUGCAUCACAGCACAUUGGAUUGACACUAGUUGGAAGUUGCAAAAAAGAAUAAUUAGAUUUGCAGCCUUAACCCCCCCUUUUGAUGGGCUUUCUAUUGCUNNNNNNNNNNNNNNNNGCUUGGCUCAAUGGAAAAUUGAUAGUAAGGUUUUUACCUUGACAUUGGAUAAUGCAUCUUAUAAUAAUACCAUGGCUACUUCUCUCAAGAUUCGUCUUCUUGCAAAUAAAUCUCUCUUGCAUGGUGGUGAUUUUUUUCAAAUUCGUUGUUGCUGCCAUAUUAUAAGUCUUAUUGUGCAAGCUGGUCUGAAUCUCAUUGAUGGUGUUGUUUGUAAAAUUAGAAAUGUGGCCAAGCAUUUGAAAAAUUCAAUUCCAAAGAAGAAGAAGUUUUAUGAAAUUGCUGAAAAAAGUUUUCAUUUGGAUACCAGAAAGAGAUUGCGUUCUGAUUGUUGUGUUAGAUGGAAUUCUACUUUUUUAAUGUUGGACCGUGCUGUUUAUUUCAAGGCAGUUUUAGAUCACUGGGGACAGCGUGAUAGAGAAUUUAGAAUCUUUGCACUUUCUGAAGAAGAGUGGGAAAAAGUAGCUAUUCUUCAUAAAUUUUUGAAAGUGUUUUAUGAUGUGACUAAUCAGUUUUCUGCUAGUAAGCAUCCAACAGCAAAUAUUUAUUUUAGGGGGGUGUGGGAGAUACAUAGAAAAUUGAUAGAAACUGUUAAUGGCCCAUAUGAUUUUAUGGUUGAUAUGGUUAGAGAGAUGCAAGUUAAAUUUAACAAGUAUUGGUCUGAGUAUAGUUUGAUCUUAUCUUGUGCUACAGUUUUGGAUCCCCGUUGCAAGUUAGAGUUAGUUGAAUAUUGUUAUUCUAAACUUUAUGGGGAGGUUAGUGCAAGGGAGAUGGUUCAGAAUAUUAAGAAUACUUUGUAUGAUUUAUUUGAGGAGUAUAUGCUGCGUUCAACUUUAGUCUCUUCUCCCAAGGUUGGAACUUCUAGUGGCAGUGAUGUUGGUAACCAUGAUGCAGAUAGUUUUAAAGAUUAUGAAUUAUUUUUGAGUAAAAAACAAAAGCAUGAUCAUGGGAAGUCACAAUUAGAUGUUUACUUGGAGGAGCAAAAUCUUGGGCUGCUUAUCGAUUUGGAUAUUUUAGUGUAUUGGAGAGAUGCCUCAGGUCGUUUUCCCGAGCUUUCAUCGAUGGCUCGUGAUAUUUUGGCCAUUUCCAUAUCAACAGUUUCUUCAGAGUCUGCCUUCAGUAUGGGUAAAAAGUUGAUAAAUCCUUGGCGAAACUCACUUUCACCAAAGACAAUUCAAGCUAUUACAUGUUAUGAGGAUUGGUUGCGAGCAAAGGGCUUCUCAUUAGGUAAUUGUUUAAAUCUUUGCUUGUUCUUCUAUUUUUUUCUCUAAUAUAUAUUUGAAUAAAAACUAAUUUUCUAUUGUUUCAUAUUUAUUUAUUUUUACAUUUUUUUUAGGACAAUCGGGUGUCUUGGGAGCUAACAUGGAAGAAUCUAGUGAGGAUGAAGAUGACGCGGAAGAGAUGGAAGAGGGAUUACAUGGUUCGGUCAUUUAGAUAUUCUAUUAAUAACUCUAAUAAUUAUUCAUCAAUCAUUAACAAUUGCUAAUGUUUCAAUUUUGUGUUUGUAGGUUUUGAGAAUUAGAAGAUGCAAGCAUGUUCUUCUACAGUUUUCUAUCAUGGAAGUGGCUUCAAGAAUUAUGAUUACAUUUACUUUUGAAUGCACAAAGAUGCAUGUUUGUUAUAAUGUUAAUGGGACAAUGUAAUUUGUAUUUUGUCUAAAUAUGUAGUUGUCUAACUUUGUAGUUUUUAUUGUUGGGUUGUAAUUUUUAGCUGGACAACAGUAUUUCAUACAUUUUAUUUUCUUUCUAUUGGCUUGAAGCUGCAAAUUUUUUCUUUUUAAUGUUUGUAGAAUGUAGAUAUAUUCAAAUUGCAAAGUUUGAAACUAUCACCAACACUAUCUAUUUGAAAUAGGCUAGUUAUAUCCUUAACAUUAAUCAAUUAACCAUUGGAGAAACAAAAUAAAGAUAGAAAAAUACAUCUAGUUUUAGAGAGCUCAUUAAGCUGUUGGGCCAUUUUGGUCCAUUUCUAGAUUCCAAACACACAAAAAAAUCGGACCUGUCGGGUCGGGCCUGGGACCAGAUUUAUAAAGUUGGGUCGGGCUUGGGCAUAGCCAACAGGCCUAAUUUCUGCUGUAGAGCCUGGUCCGGGUUUUGAUCAACUCUAGUCAAAACUGAAGAUCUCACCGGGUUUUGAUCAGCUCUAGUCAAAACUGAAGAUCUCACCUAAAAAAGACUAGCUGGAGUUAUUAUUUAUGUUUUAAUCAUUCAAGCAACACGAUCAA